rnacentral:pre_miRNA from 1 species
CGACGACGACGAUGAUGAUGAUGACGACGACGCUGGCGAUGAUUUGCUCCAAAUAUUGGAUGGGCCUGGCGCUCGUUGGUAUUUCUGAUGAUGUUUGGGUUUUCUCUCGUUUGUCGUGUUUUUUUUUUAAAUGAUCAUCCUCAUCGUCGUCAUCAUCAUCAUCUUCUUGG